AUUGAACGCUGGCGGCAGGCCUAACACAUGCAAGUCGAACGAGCGGCGGACGGGUUAGUAAUGUCUUUGACAGUGCCUCAUGGAUGGGGAUAACUACUGUAAAUGGUAUCUACUUCCGCAUACUCUCCGAGCUCCCCAGAUGGGAUUAGCUAGUUGGUGGGGUAAUGGCUAACCAAGGCGACGAUCCCUAGCUGGUCUGAGAGGAUGACGCGCGAAACGGGAACUGAGACAAGGACCAGACGCCUACGGGAGGCGGCAGUGGGGAAUGUUGCACAAUGGGCGAAAGCCUGAUGCAGCCAUGGCGCGUGUAUGAAGAAGGCAUUAGGGUAGGAAAGUACUUUCGGCGGGGAGGCGUUAGACGCAGAAGAAGCACCGGCUAACUCCGUGCCAGCAGCCGCGGUAAUAC
rnacentral:rRNA from 1 species